rnacentral:lncRNA from 10 species
GUGCCACCCUGAACACCCCCGACCUCGUCUCAUCUCAGAAGCUAAGCAGGGUCGGGCCUGGUUAGUACUUGCAUAGGAAAGCAGGAGGGUCCCCACGCCAGAGGGAGGCCUGCAAAGGAAGCGCGGAAUUGGGAUGGGCUCGCCACUGCUCUGAGCCAGAGGAAGGGUCUGGACGGCCGAGCUGGAGGGACCCCCUUUUCUGGUGUUCUUGGCAAAGAAAAAGGAAGACAGCAGAGGAGAGCUCCGCGAGGGGCUGCUGUGGGGUCGGGGGAGAGCGCGCUGGAGAUUAGAAGAGGAGCCAUGUCAGAAGAAACAGUAAGUGAAUCACAGUUUUCCUUGAAGACAGCAGCGCUAAGAGUGUUUGAUCUUCCUCUGACUUGGUACUAUUCUCUCUCCCAGAUCAAAUUUUCUCCGGUGGCUAAAAAGUUGUUUGUGGUAACUGCAGUGAGUGCUAUAUCUGUAAUUUUUCUGGCUCAUCACUUUAAAAGAAAACGUGGAAA